rnacentral:lncRNA from 1 species
AUAAAACAAAGGUCAAACCAAAAUCAACCAACAAGACUAGGUCAAAAAUAAAUCAAGAAUAAAUAGAAAAUUGUGAAAAAAAAAUCCAAGAAAAGGUCAGGUUGACCAUGGGAUAGUGGUCAACCUUCAUUCCAAAAAUCAAAAGCUAAAAAGAAUUUUAAGUCAUAGAAAAUAAAAUUAAGAAUUAAAUAUGUGCUAAAAUGGACCAUUUAGAAUUAAUAAUUGAAAUAAAAUAUUAACAUUAAAUAAAU